CUCUCUCAUUCCUUGCCAUUCAUUUCAGUAGUGCAGUGUGAUUUUUCUCGUGUGUGGUAAUGAUGAAAAUUUUGUAAUUUUUUAGAAAAAAUAUAGAAAAUUUAGUCAAAUUAGUAAGAAAUAUGUGCUAAACUAAAAAUAACCGAAAGCGUUUGUAAGCAAAGUGCCACGAAUGUGUAAUAUGCUUAUGUGUACCAGGCAUGUAUAUAGUAAGGACUCUUUCCAAAAGCUAGAGAUAAAAAAGGUUGUUGGCUCCUGCGCUAGAAAGUAAAGACAACGCUAUUCUCCGAACUAAUUUGAAACGGCUGCAAUUAAAAAGAAUAGAAAGCGAUAAAACUGCUGCGAAAGUGACCAUAGCGGAAUAAUGUUCCUUAUACAUUAGAUACGAUUACAUGCAUCUAUGCUUGUACAAAUUAAUGAAUGAUCGGCGCAAUAUACCCAACAUAUGCACCAAACGGAACUUACAAACUUAUGUAGUACUUUGAAAGGCGACUUUACACGGCGCCAAUAGAACAGCAAAUGCUUCUACAUACAUAGCUCGUCAAAUAGCAAUAUAUAUACCAUAGAUCUGCAGGGAUUCUUAAAAAAGGAUUAAUUUUAAGCCAAACAAAAACAACAUUCGCCUAAUGGCACUACAACUAAAUACCAAUAAUCAACGCGAGUUUCCUUAAGCUUUUGAUUUGCGCCCCUAAAGAAGCUAAGGAAGUUAGCCAAACGUCGGGCAAAAAGUGAAGGAAACUGUGUUUUCACUUGCACUUGCACCAGUUAGAUCAACCAAAGCCUUUACAAGCAACAACAUAAAUAGUUUUCUCAUUGAAUCUAAUGAGUUGACGGGUACUGUAAGUUCUACCUGUUUAGAGCGAUCUAUUUUGUCAACCGUGCAUAAACGUUUUCUAUGUUUUAAAGCAAGUCGUAAGAUAAUCUAAUUAAAGAAAUAUCGAUAUGUUCCUACAGC